GUGCUUGCUUAGGCAGCACAUAUACUAAAAUUGGAACAAUACAGAGAAGAUUAGCAUAGGCCCUGUGCAAGGAUGACAGGCAAAUUCACGAACCUUUCCAUAUUUUU
ensembl:snRNA U6 U6 spliceosomal RNA